CCUCGUAUGUGCCCAUCGUGGUGACCGCGCCAACUGUGGCACCCCUGUCUUCUCUCACUCAAAUGGAAGUGCAGUGGGACAGAGACGUGACGGUUGCUGUAAAGCAGCACGUCAUCAAGCGGCUACCGUCACCGUAUCGUUCUCGGUGCCUCGACUACACACGUAGAGGGAUCCAGCGGAAGUUCCUUGGCUUCCACACAAUGGAAUCAUGCAUCCAAGAAUGCCAGAUGAAAGUGGAGAUGGAUGUUUGCG